rnacentral:rRNA from 1 species
AUUGAACGCUGGCGGCAUGCCUUACACAUGCAAGUCGAACGGUAACGGGCCUUCGGGUGCCAACGAGUGGCGAACGGGUGAGUAAUACAUCGGAACGUGCCCGAUCGUGGGGGAUAACGAGGCGAAAGCUUUGCUAAUACCGCAUACGAUCUACGGAUGAAAGCAGGGGACCGCAAGGCCUUGCGCGGACGGAGCGGCCGAUGGCAGAUUAGGUAGUUGGUGGGAUAAAAGCUUACCAAGCCGACGAUCUGUAGCUGGUCUGAGAGGAUGAUCAGCCACACUGGGACUGAGACACGGCCCAGACUCCUACGGGAGGCAGCAGUGGGGAAUUUUGGACAAUGGGCGCAAGCCUGAUCCAGCCAUGCCGCGUGCAGGAUGAAGGCCUUCGGGUUGUAAACUGCUUUUGUACGGAACGAAAAGCCUUCUUUUAAUACAGGAGGGUCAUGACGGUACCGUAAGAAUAAGCACCGGCUAACUACGUG